rnacentral:snRNA from 1 species
GUGCUCGCUUUGGCAGCACAUAUACUAAAGUUGGAAUGGUACAGAGAAGAUUAGCAUGGCCCCUGCACAAGGAUGACACGUAAAUUCGUGAAGUGUUCCAAAUUUUU